rnacentral:rRNA from 1 species
AAUUAUUUAUUUGAUGGUUUCUUACUACUUGGAUAACCGUAGUAAUUCUAGAGCUAAUACAUGCGUAAAGUCCCGACUCUCGCGGGGAGGGAUGUAUUUAUUAGAUUAAAAACCAAUGCGGCCUUUGGUCGGACUUGUGUUGAUUCAUAGUAACUUUUCGGAUCGCAGGGCUUCACGCCGGCGACAGUUCAUUCAAAUUUCUGCCCUAUCAGCUUUCGACGGUAGUGUAGUGGACUACCGUGGCAUUUACGGGUGACGGAGAAUUAGGGUUCGAUUCCGGAGAGGGAGCCUGAGAAACGGCUACCACA